UACGUAGGGUGCGAGCGUUGUCCGGAAUUACUAGGCGUAAAGGGCAGGCAGGCGGAUCCAUAAGUUUAUCGUUUAAGGCGUCGGCUUAACCGGCGUAGGGCGGUAGAUACUGUGGAUCUGGAAUGCGGUUGGGGAAGACAGAAUUCCAUGUGUAGCGGUGGAAUGCGCAGAGAUCAGGAGGAAUACCGAAGGCGAAGGCAGUCUUCCAAGCCGUUAUUGACGCUCAACUGCGAAGGUGUGGGUAUCAAACAGGAUUAGAUACCCCUGUAGUCCCU
rnacentral:rRNA from 1 species